AACGUUACAAAUCGUAAGGCGAG
rnacentral:miRNA from 1 species